rnacentral:rRNA from 1 species
AUCCCGGCUUACCAAACCGAUGCAAACUCCGAAUACCGAAGAAUGUUAUCACGGGAGACACACGGCGGGUGCUAACGUCCGUCGUGAAGAGGGAAACAACCCAGACCGCCAGCUAAGGUCCCAAAGUCAUGGUUAAGUGGGAAACGAUGUGGGAAGGCAUAGACAGCCAGGAUGUUGGCUUAGAAGCAGCCAUCAUUUAAAGAAAGCGUAAUAGCUCACUGGUCGAGUCGGCCUGCGCGGAAGAUGUAACGGGGCUAAACCAUGCACCGAAGCUGCGGCAGCGACGCUUAGGCGUUGUUGGGUAGGGGAGCGUUCUGUAAGCCGUUGAAGGUGGCCUGUGAGGGUUGCUGGAGGUAUCAGAAGUGCGAAUGCUGACAUAAGUAACGAUAAAGCGGGUGAAAAGCCCGCUCGCCGGAAGACCAAGGGUUCCUGUCCAACGUUAAUCGGGGCAGGGUGAGUCGACCCCUAAGGCGAGGCUGAAAAGCGUAGUCGAUGGGAAACAGGUUAAUAUUCCUGUACUUGGUGUUACUGCGAAGGGGGGACGGAGAAGGCUAGGCUAGCCGGGCGACGGUUGUCCCGGUUUAAGCGUGUAGGGGGUGUGACCUGGUAAAUCCGGUUGCAUACUAACCCUGAGGCGUGAUGACGAUGCACUACGGUGCAGAAGUAGUUGAUGCCCUGCUUCCAGGAAAAUCCUCUAAGCUCCAGGUAACAUUAAAUCGUACCCCAAACCGACACAGGUGGUCAGGUAGAGAAUACCAAGGCGCUUGAGAGAACUCGGGUGAAGGAACUAGGCAAAAUGGUGCCGUAACUUCGGGAGAAGGCACGCUGGCAUGUAGGUGAAGUCCCUUGCGGAUGGAGCUGAAGCCAGUCGAAGAUACCAGCUGGCUGCAACUGUUUAAUAAAAACACAGCACUGUGCAAACACGAAAGUGGACGUAUACGGUGUGACGCCUGCCCGGUGCUGGAAGGUUAAUUGAUGGGGUCAGCCGCAAGGCGAAGCUCUUGAUCGAAGCCCCAGUAAACGGCGGCCGUAACUAUAACGGUCCUAAGGUAGCGAAAUUCCUUGUCGGGUAAGUUCCGACCUGCACGAAUGGCGUAAUGAUGGCCAGGCUGUCUCCACCCGAGACUCAGUGAAAUUGAACUCGCUGUGAAGAUGCAGUGUACCCGCGGCAAGACGGAAAGACCCCGUGAACCUUUACUAUAGCUUGACACUGAACAUUGAGCCUUGAUGUGUAGGAUAGGUGGGAGGCUUUGAAGCGUGGACGCCAGUCUGCGUGGAGCCAUCCUUGAAAUACCACCCUUUAAUGUUUGAUGUUCUAACUCGGCCCCAUAAUCUGGGGUGAGGACAGUGUCUGGUGGGUAGUUUGACUGGGGCGGUCUCCUCCCAAAGAGUAACGGAGGAGCACGAAGGUUAGCUAAUCACGGUCGGACAUCGUGAGGUUAGUGCAAAGGCAUAAGCUAGCUUGACUGCGAGAGUGACGGCUCGAGCAGGUACGAAAGUAGGUCUUAGUGAUCCGGUGGUUCUGAAUGGAAGGGCCAUCGCUCAACGGAUAAAAGGUACUCCGGGGAUAACAGGCUGAUACCGCCCAAGAGUUCAUAUCGACGGCGGUGUUUGGCACCUCGAUGUCGGCUCAUCACAUCCUGGGGCUGAAGUAGGUCCCAAGGGUAUGGCUGUUCGCCAUUUAAAGUGGUACGCGAGCUGGGUUUAGAACGUCGUGAGACAGUUCGGUCCCUAUCUGCCGUGGGCGUUGGAAGAUUGAGAGGGGUUGCUCCUAGUACGAGAGGACCGGAGUGAACGCACCACUGGUGUUCGGGUUGUCAUGCCAAUGGCAUUGCCCGGUAGCUAAGUGCGGAAAAGAUAAGCGCUGAAAGCAUCUAAGCGCGAAACUUGCCUCAAGAUGAGUCUUCCCUGGGCCUUCAAGGCCCCUGAAGGAACGUUUAAGACUAAGACGUUGAUAGGCUGGGUGUGUAAGUGCAGCGAUGCAUUGAGCUAACCAGUACUAAUGAUCCGUGAGGCUUAACCUU